GGUUGGUUAGCGUAAUGAUAACGCGUCACUUUCCGGUCAUCUAGAUGGAGCUUGGUGAAGAUUGUGGGUUCGAGUCCCGUGCUGGUCG